GAUGAAGAACGUAGCGAAAUGCGAUAAGUAAUGUGAAUUGCAGAAUUCAGUGAAUCAUCGAAUCUUUGAACGCACCUUGCGCCCUUUGGCUAUUCCGAAGGGCAUGCCUGUUUGAGUAUCAUGAACACCUCAACCCUCAUGGUUUGCCAUGACGGGCUUGGACUUUGGGGGUCUUGCUGGAUUGUAGUCAGCUCCCCUUAAACAAAUCAGCUUGCCAGUGUUUGGUGGCAUCACAGGUGUGAUAACUAUCUAUGCUUGUGGUUUUACAUCAGAUAACCUUUAGUGAUGGAGGUUCACUGGAGCUCAUAAAGGUGUCUCUCCUCUGUGAGGACAGCUCUUUGAAUGUUUGAUCUCAAAUCAGGCAGGACUACCCGCUGAACUUAAGCAUAUCAAUAAGCGGAGGA
rnacentral:misc_RNA from 1 species